CUCUCCCUCCUGCACAGCCCCCUCCUGCUUCCCCAUCGUUCCCCACACAGCGCCGCCACCCAAGAUCUCAUCGCCUCCCUCUUCCCAAAGUUCACCGCCGGCCCUCCCUCUUCUCUCCUAGAGGCAGGACGAUGACCACCGCACCGUCAACUGCCGCCACUCUAUUCCCUGACAUCUAUUACCUCUUUCUAGAUCUGGAAAACCACUGCAUCGUCAACUACCACGACGAUGACCACCACGUCCUUGGCCGGUCAGGGGAGGACGAAACGUGCGGCACAAGAGAAGGGCCCCGAGCGGUAGCAGAUGCGGGAGGAUGGCGACGUCCUACGGCGAGCUGACCUUGGGAUCUUGGCGAUGCCCGUGUGCCAAUGGCGUCCUCCUGGAUCUCGCCGACACCUCUUCCUCAUGCUCCUCCUCAAGAUCUGGUUAUUGCUUUGUAAUGUAAUGAAUCAGACCAUGUCCUGCUUGAACUAAGUAUGUACAAGUUAGUUGGCUGAACUUAUGAACUUCUACUAUGUGUGCAAGUCUUCUUGCUUUCUAAUCAAUGAACUAGACCAUGUCCUGAAUGUACGUGUAAUAGAGAAUUUCAGUAUCUCACUGAAUGUAUGUGUACUUGAGAAUUUCAGUAUCUCACGGAAUGUACGUGUACUUGAGAAUUUCAGUUUGUUCAGAGAGAGAGACGAGUUCAGUUAA